GUCCACGCCGUAAACGAUGGGUGCUAGGUGUGGGCGGUGUCGACUCCGUCCGUGCCGAAGCUAACGCAUUAAGCACCCCGCCUGGGGAGUACGGCCGCAAGGCUAAAACUCAAAGGAAUUGACGGGGCCCGCACAAGCAGCGGAGCAUGUGGUUUAAUUCGACGCGACGCGAAGAACCUUACCAAGGCUUGACAUGCACUUGAAUGUCGUAGAAAUACGGCAGCCCUUCGGGGCAAGUGCACAGGUGGUGCAUGGCUGUCGU
rnacentral:rRNA from 1 species